AGUCGAACGGUAGCCAGAGAGCUUGCUCUCGGGUGACGAGUGGUGGACGGGUGAGUAAUGUCUGGGAAACUGCCUGAUGUAGGGGGAUAACUACUGGGAACGGUAGCUAAUACCGCAUAUCGUCGCAAGACCAAGGAGGGGGACCUUCAGGCCUCUUGCCAUCAGAUGUGCCCAGAUGGGAUUAUCUAGAACGUGGGGUAACGGCUCACCUAGGCGACGAUCCCUCUCUGGUCUGAGAAGAUGACCAGCCACUCUGAAACUGAGACACGGUCCACACUCCUACGGGAGGCACCAGUGGGGAAUAUUGCACAAUGGGCGCACGCCUGAUGCAGACAUGCCGCGUGUAUGAAAAAAGCCUUCUGGUUGUAAAGAACAUUCUCCGCGGAGGAAAGUGUUGUGAUUAAUAACCCCAUCAAAUGACUUACCCCGCAAAAAAACCCCCCCUAUAACUCCGUGCCACCACCCCCGUAAAUACGGAGGGUGCACGCGUUUUUCUAAAUUAUUGUGGCGUAAAGCGCACGCAGGCGGUCUGUCAAGUCGGAUAUGAUAUCCCCGGGGCUCACCCUGGGGAACUGCUUUUAAAACUGGUAG
rnacentral:rRNA from 1 species